CGCAGCGGACCGACGUCGCAUGCGCUCACAAAAAAUCCAUUCGACAAGAGCGCAGGCGCAGCUCACCCACAACUUCAGUUCGGUCAACUUCGGCUAGUGGUGAUCGAAACUUCGAUGUGUGUGGAAGUGAAUUUAACUAACAUAAUCUCACAAAAAUAACAAUAAUCAGUAACUAAAGUACAAUAUCUAAUUUGAUCGUGUUGGAAUAAACAUUUUACGUGUAAUCAGUUGUAUAAAUAGUAUUCAUGAUGUGUGAUAAUAACAAUCCUUCAACGCAAAGUAUAGCGGACUACUUAGCUCAGUUGCUCAAAGACAGGAAGCAACUGGCUGCGUUCCCGAAUGUUUUCAUGCACAUGGAGCGACUUCUGGAUGAAGAAAUAGCAAAAGUUCGAGCAAGUUUAUUCCAAAUAAAUGGAGUCAAGAAAGAACCACUCGUACUACCAGAGCCUGAAGGCAUGGUCACCACACUCACAGAAAAAGUUUACGUGCCAGUCAAAGAACAUCCAGAUUUCAACUUCGUUGGAAGGAUUCUAGGACCCAGAGGCAUGACAGCCAAACAGUUAGAACAAGAAACAGGCUGCAAAAUCAUGGUCAGAGGAAAAGGAUCAAUGAGGGAUAAGAAAAAGGAGGAUGCAAACAGAGGAAAGCCAAAUUGGGAACAUUUGGCCGACGAUCUCCACGUCUUACUCACAGUUGAGGAUACCGAAAACCGGGCGAAGAUCAAGUUGGCCAGGGCUGUCGACGAAGUCAAACGUCUGCUUGUACCUCAAGCCGAUGGCGAAGAUGAGCUGAAGAAACGUCAACUGAUGGAGUUGGCAAUUAUAAACGGGACUUACCGCGACUCCAGCACCAAGGCUGUGGUACCCGUCAACGGUCAGUGCCUCAUAAACGAUCCCACAGCGGACGAGGAGUGGCGGCGCGUGGCUGCGGCCGCGGCCGAGACGCAGCGGCUGCUAGCCCCGGGCGGCGGGGUGGGGGGCGUGGGCGGCGUGGCGCUGCGCUCGCAGGCUCCGCUGGGGGCCCCGCUGAUACUGUCGCCGCGCAUGUCGCAAGGCGCCCAGGCCGGGCUCCUCAACGGCUCGGGGGCCCAGGCCGCGGCCGGCCUGCUGUCUCCGGGCGAGCCGGCCCACCAGCUCAUCUACGCGUCGCCCUACGACUACGCUAACUACGCAGCUCUGACGGCCGCCGCCAACCCGCUGCUCACCACCGAGUACGCCGCCGCCGACCAUACGGCACGUGAUUUGACCGAUUACAUCUGGAGCCAUUUUUGGAGGGAUUAUCCUGCUGCGCGAUAUUAGACUUAAUAACUCCAAACAGAGUAAACGAGACACAGAAACUCGAUAACGGUUGUAGACGCUAGAUGCUGCUAGUUCACUAAAUACAGCUACUUAUUUAAAACUUAACAAAGAACAAUCAGGCUCGUGAUUACACAGCACUAAUAUACUAAUGUACACUAUUCUAACGUAUGGUGUCGAGCUUAUGUUGAACUGUGUGUGAUAUAAAUAUUUUAAUGGGGUUUGCAGCGUCGAGAUAUCUGCUAGCUGGCUUUUGACAUUGGCCGCAUCAGCCCACAAUAAGAUACGGCAGACUGCAAGCGCCGUAUCGCACUACGCAUCAUUAUUGCCGUCCUUGAUAUCAUAAUCCUCCUUCUAAACGCCUCAGGACGUCCUCUUUACAGUCAUAAUAAAACGCCAUGAUCAAUUUAUAGUGUUAAGAUUUUAUUGUUUUAAGUAACGUUAGCUUACGAACUCAUUAUUUUGUACCUACGAUGUUAACGUCUUUAAUAUUUACGAAUAUGUUUUCUUCUACAGCUGUUUUGUACAGUUCAAUACAAAUUAUAAUUUUUGUUUUACUUGACAGUCAAAGAUAUAUUAUUUAUUAUAUAACAGAAUAAUUUACUAUUUAUUCAAAUUAAUAUAAUUACCAGAAUAUUUAUUGAAAAUAUAUUUUCUUUUAUAGCAGUUGUUUCGUGUUAGGGCUGAUGGCAGUUCAAUAAUUGUUUUAAAUUAGAUAUUAUUUUAGUUAAUUCUAAACUGCCAAGAAAACUCUAUAUAAGUUACCGAUGUUUAAUAUACAAAGACGUAGAGUUUUUUUAUAUAUACCUAUUUAUAUACCUGUCUUGUUACUUGAUACACUUCACUCGAAUGAUGAUAGAUAUAAUAGAACCCAUCAUUAGUUCUUGUGAUAACCCUUGCUUGUAACACAACUAAUUUAUUAACAUUAUGUUAAUGUAGAUUCAAACUUCAUUGAGUUUUGGACUAAGAUAUAUCUUACUUUAAAGUAUUAUCAUUUAUUCUAAAAUUCCACCAUUUGCAUGUGGUUUUUUUUCAUCCUUUUUUCUAUAUUUCCAGUAAAAUACUUGUGAAUAACAAAAGAAAUUUCGUAUUAACAAUAGUUAAUCUGAAUGAACGCAAUGAGUUGCAUAGAUAAUUCAGCAAUUACAAGCAAAAGGGACCAAAUACAAAUUGAUUUACGAAAACAACACAUUUACAUAUUAUUUAACUAUAUUUUAACAAAACUGACAAAAUUAAUAACGCGAUACACACUCACAUUACGAACAAAACGUGGAACAUUCUAGGCGGUUUAAAUGUUUAUAUACGUUUAUCGUGUAGCAAUAACAUUUGCAGCUGCAUUCUACACACUGUUAUUGCUACAAAUAUUAUAUCGUAACUUAUUAAUUUAUUAGCCAUAUUAUUAUAUUUAUAAACAUACCAUAGGCUAAGUAUUAUUAUUAUCUUUAAAAGAUUUCUAGUUAGGUUAGAAAAGAGUGAGCUUUAUGAAAAUAUUAUACACCCGUAUAUUAUUGUUUAGGUUUAUUAUAUCGCAGUUAACACUGUAGUCAAUUUUAAUUAAAUCAUGAAAUUAUCGAAGCCAGCCAUUACCUGUACCUUGACCGGGCAUACGUAGACCCGUUCGUUUAAAUAUUUUAUUUUGUUAUAUUUUCCAAAGCAAUAAAAUAGAUAAUAGAGUAAUCUAUAGGCCUAAGCAUAAUAAUAGAAGUUAGUGUUACUGCCAAAUGAAGAUUUAAUCAUAAAAUUAUAUCUUAGUAUUACCGAACGACAGAGACGAGUAUUUGGCAGUGAUAUCUAGGUACUUGCGAUCGUUAAGUCUAGAAAACGAAAUCAUUUUUCUAUUUCUAUUUUAUAAAUGAGAUUAAAUUCUUUGCAGCAUUUAGAUGUAAAGCUACGCCCAUUUCUAUAUAGUCUUGCAGCUUUAAAUGUAUUUGUAUUCCAAAUUGAUUUUCCAGUGAAUUUCUAUAUUAUAUAUCCGCAUUGCCGUAAGCAAAGGUCUGGGUUCACCGACUCGGUGUUGGAAGCUUUUGAUGUUGAGCUAAGACGCAGAUGUUAAAUGUGUAUAUGCCGCUAGGUGUGGUGAGGAGGGCGCAACGGCUCGCGCAGGUCAGGGAGCACCCUUACCAGCGCACUGCCUUACCGGCGCCUUAACUCCCGCCAAAACGCUCUCACGCCGCCAUUUUGUUCACAAGGUGAGUGCUAACGGCGCCGAGGAACUAACAGGAGUCGCGGCCGGCCGCUCCACGCCGGCCCCCUAUGUCGCCGCGUAACAUACUCAUCGGAACAUCGACCACCAUGUAGCUAUUAGCUGUUGGGCCUUUCACGUUUAACAUUAUACUAUGUAUUAUAAUAGUCUAACUAUUAACAUUUAUAUGCCUGUUAUGUUUAUAACAUGAUGAACUUUAUUAACAUUUUUAUAUACUUUUUUUAUGAAAUGGCACACGCCAUCGACUAUAUUUACUAUAUUGUAUCUUAUUGUACUUCUGUUGUCGCUUGAACGUGUUGUUGUUGAAGCACGAGUGUUGUUAGGCUACCCGGACAAAUCACGGCGUUAAACGUGGCACCUUUAUACCUAAUCUAUAGAUAUUUAUUUAAAACUUUUUUGUUUAACGUUAUUUGCUUAGAAUUUACUUGAAGACGCACUUUUAGCGCCGUCACGAUAAAGAGAUGGUUUGAAUAAAACAUUGACUUCUAACUAAAGCUUAAUUCAUGGAGUAGCUAGACUUUAAUUUGAUACUGAAAUACGUUUGCUAACACAAAUUGCUUUUUGAUCUCUUCCCAAAAACAAAAUAAGGAAAUCCUUCAUUAGUUGCUUUAAACUGUUCUAUGAAUUGAGCUUUGUAACGCAGUCAUGAUUUUUCAACUAAGUUACUAUCUGACCUGUUAGACAAAAUGUCUAUCAAUCAGAAAAGAUUGUACUGUAAAAAGUACAGCUCACGAAAUUGAUACGUAUCAACGUUGAUCGUUCUACGCUACAUGGAUAGUCUGUGGCGCACAAGAACAGGAUGGCGUCAUGCAAGAGGUCAAGUAAGUACCUACGAUGCUAAAAUAUAUUAAAUUGCUUUUCAUUAAAUAAUUGGACUGACAUUGGAUUAUAGUCUAAUAUAGGUUGUUUCUUCAUAUACUCAUCGACCCGACAAACCUUCGGCAAUUAUUCUACAUUACUUUAAAACCAAAGACUAAAUAUUUUAUAGUAAUAUUUGACUAUAUUUUUCUGAUCAAACUUGAAAUCAUCGAUGUCUUCCUUUGUUAAAUGCGAUUUAUAUUGGUCAAUGAGUGUAUGGAUUCUCAUUCGAAAUAAAUUAUAUUUAUAGCAUUGUAUUUUACUCUUAGUGCUUAAUAUUUAUAGAUAACUUUGGAUAUUUGUACAUCCCAUGUGCCUUAAUUAAAUGUACAAUGUUCUUACCUUUUUGGUUCUAUAGAAAUUGUUAUAAUGCUAAUUAAUAGCUAAGUUAGAAGAGAUUAAAUUAUUGUUAACUUUUCUAAAUGUUAAUUUUUAUACAUUUAUCGUCGUCAGUUUGAAAUAUUAAUUAUCUAAGUAUAUAAAUAAUAAUACCCAAAUGUUUUAGUGUCUAGUAGACGUACGUUAGUUGUGGCAACAUUAUUAACUUUAUAAGUGCCUUCGUUACAAUCUCUUCGGGAAUCUCUAGAUUUCGUUCUUAUCUUAUACAAAUAUCAGAGAUCUGCGCUAAGUUUAUUCAGUGAAAAAUAUUUACCCAAUAAUAAUCUCAAAGAUUACACAAACGUUCAAGUUUAAUGUAACAAGGGCAAUUAUUCGUCAUUACAUGUAUAUUGUUAUGUAUAGAGCUUACAUAAUGUAAUUAAAAGCAAUAUUAUAACAUAAUGAAUCACGAUUAGUGCAAUAGAGAUGUUAUAAUACUAAAUAAUAUUUUAUUAGUAAAGUUAACUCGACUAAAAUAAGUUGGGAGAAUAUUUUUACAAGAUUAUAUAGAGAUCUGAUAUUGAGAUUAAUGCGGUAGGUAAAAAGUAUAUUAUCACGAUUGUUAUCUGUGAAGAUACAUAUUUUCUUUAAAAUUAAAAUUGUUUUUAAGUAAUUAGAGUAGAAGAGCUAAUUAGUAGGUAAUUUUUUAUCGUUUUGCAUUAAUUAGGUGCUUUUGUCAAAAUUUUGGAAUCGAUUGAAAAGAAAAAGUCGUUUAAAAAUUAUUUACAGUAAUUCUUUUUUACACUUCUAUGUUAGAAAAGUUGUGUUGAAUAUCUACAUUUUUGUUAAAUAUCCUCUAAAAAAUAAAUCAGUAAAAAAAUCUUAUCAUCGAAGUUGUUAACACUCCGUCCAUGAUUAUUUCAUAAAUAAGUACUUAAUUUUGUUGGUCUCCCACUCAUGCAUAGUUAAGUACGUAUCAUUUGAGACAUCUCCUCAUUUGUGUCACGUGUUAACACUUAAAAAUAUCAUAAUAAAUGUUAGUACCCGUGAAAUAUUUAAAAAGCAUAGAAAACUUCAUUACCAUAUCAACAUAUUGGCUUGGUUUCAUCUUACAUAACUUCAUCCCAUGUAAUUGUACUUCUUAUUUCGUUUUUAUUUAGUUACAAUAAGGUCUAAAUUUGCUUGUUCAUAGAUAUAAUGCUGGACAAUAUCUUACAAUGUUCAAAAUACUUUAUUCGUAUCCUCUGAGUUCACAGAUAUAAAACUUAGGACAUCAGAAGAUUUAUUUGCAAGCAGUUCUUCAAAAUCAGAUGAAGACUGCGUUUCACUCACCCUUCAUACAUGCAUCUACAUAGUUCGUACAAAUCAUACUAAUACAAAUAAGCAUUUAAAGAUUUAAUCAUAAAAUGCGAAUGCCAUAACAACUCGAGGAAUCCGUUUCAUAUAAUAAUGUGAAAAUAUGUGAUGAAAUAGAUGUGUUUAACGUACAAAUAAUUUUAUAGUCUGCAAAUAACUAGUAAUAUACUGUGUUUCAUAAGCAAUAACUUUAGUAAUUUUGUUUCUUGAAACAUGCUUAGUGCCAUCAGCAGACGGGCUUAUUACAUGUCAUUGUUUUUUAAUAUUAAUUUGUACUUAUCGUUAAGGCGAAUAUUAAUAGAGUGCCUUAAAAGAACUUGUACAUAUUUAUUAUUAUCUUUCAUUAAAGUAUUAAUAUAGCGGAGAAUAACAAAAUCUAAAAUUGUUUUCCAAAAACAAUAUAUUAUAGAGAAUAAAUAAAUUUAGUUAAGUGAGAUUGUGCAUAUUAUGUAUGUUUUGAUGUGUGUUUAAGAUUGAUUUGGUAUUAGUAAAUAUUUAAAAAACGUAA
rnacentral:misc_RNA from 1 species